rnacentral:rRNA from 1 species
ACUUACUUUUACGAGGAGGAUAGCAGUUCGAAAGGACUAUUAAUACUCCAUAGGUUUAUAAACUAAAUCAAAGAGGCUCCCUCGGGGGCCUCGCGUGAAAAUAGGAAUAUGUCCUAUUAGGUAGUUGGCGGGGUAAAGGCCCACCAAGCCAGUGAUGGGUAGCUGGACUGAGAGGUUGAACAGCCGCAAUGGGAUUGAGAUAUGGCCCAUAUUCCUACGGGAAGCAGCAGUGAGGAAUUUUUCACAAUGGACGAAAGUCUGAUGGAGCAAUACCACGUGAACGAUGAAGGUCUUCUGAUUGUAAAGUUCUUUUAUUUAGGAAAAAAAGCGCGCUAGGAAAUGAGCGCGCCUUGAUGGUACUAAUUGAAUAAGUGACAGCUAACUAUGUGCCAGCAGCUGCGGUAAAACAUAGGUCACGAGCAUUAUCCGGAUUUAUUGGGCGUAAAGGAAGCGUAGGUGGGGAGGUUGAUCCAUUGUUAAAGGCAUUUGCUUAACAAAUGUGUGCGAUGGAGAUCGCCUCCCUAGAGUUAAUCAGGGGGUACUGGAAUUCAAUGUGUAGCGGUGGAAUGCGUAGAUAUAUUGAGGAACACCAGAGGCUAAGGCGAGUACCUAGGAUAUAACUGACACUGAGGCUUGAAAGCGUGGGGAGCAAAUGGGAUUAGAUACCCCAGUAGUCCACGCCGUAAACGAUGGGCAUUAGGUAUUUGACAUCUAGUCGAGUGCUGUAGCUAACGCGUUAAAUGCCCCGCCUGGGUAGUAUAUAUGCAAAUAUGAAACUCAAAGAAAUUGACGGGGACCUG